rnacentral:rRNA from 1 species
UGAGUAACCUGCCCUUAACUCUGGGAUAAGCCUGGGAAACUGGGUCUAAUACCGGAUAUGACUCCUCAUCGCAUGGUGGGGGGUGGAAAGCUUUAUUGUGGUUUAGGAUGGACUCGCGGCCUAUCAGCUUGUUGGUGAGGUAAUGGCUCACCAAGGCGACGACGGGUAGCCGGCCUGAGAGGGUGACCGGCCACACUGGGACUGAGACACGGCCCAGACUCCUACGGGAGCAG